rnacentral:rRNA from 1 species
CACGUAGGCACCAAGCGUUGUCCGGAUUUAUUGGGCGUAAAGAGCUCGUCGGCGGUUCGGUAAGUCGGGUGUGAAAACUUUGGGCUCAACCCAAAGCCUGCACCCGAUACUGCUGUGACUUGAGUCCGGUAGGGGAGUGGGGAAUUCCUGGUGUAGCGGUGGAAUGCGCAGAUAUCAGGAGGAACACCGAUGGCGAAGGCAGGUCUCUGGGCAUUAACUGACGCUGAGGAGCGAAAGCAUGGGGAGCGAACAGG